AUUUUAUCCUCCGGGCUGCUUCUGCUGCAGCUGAAGGCACACUGCUCCCUGAGUGCUCAUGGGUUUCUACCUUGGAGCCAGCUGGCUGCACUGGAGUGGGACUGGGAGGAGUUGGAGGGCCCGAGAUGGGACAGGUGCUAACUGAGGGCACCUCUACCCAUCUGGCUUUCAUUUUCCAAUCUGGCACCUUGUCCAGGCGGGCCUCCCGUUUCUGGCUCCGGGCUGAGCUUCCUGGAGAAGAGGAAGAGGGAGCCCACAGCUGUGGGAGGGGCUGCUACUGCUGCCGCUGCUGCCGCUGCCGCCGCUGCCGCUGCCGCCGCCAUUGGACAAACCUCACCAGUACCUGCACAGGAGAAACACCACGGAUCACAGCGCGAUCUGAAUGGGUGCGUGCUGGUAAAGCCCGGCCCGUGUACUCCACCUGCCCCAGGAGCUGGAGACAAGACCUUGUGGCUGCGCAGCGGAAACCUUGCCUUGUGACCCCUGGAACUGGCUUUCUUGACUACUCCUUCCCCAGAGCAGCCAAGUUCCACUCCCGCUUUCCCCACACAUUACCAGGAGGUUCAACCUCUCUGGCAGAUCAUCUCUUCCAACCAGGACUUCUUAGAGUCUAAUGAUGUUCAUUCAGGUGUCCCCCCGCUGCUCCCUUGACCUCUUGUAGGAAUCUAGACGCCACGAGCUCUUGGCUACAGCACCCUUAACCCGUAUCCGUGGCAAGGCGUCUGGCCAGGCGCCCACCCUCUGCCCCUGGCCCUCCCGGCAGCCCUCGGCAUGUACCUUUGUUGCAGAGCUCACAGACAUGGUGAGGACCCUGGCUGUGCACCUUCAUGUGGUCCGAAAUAUAAGCCGAGCUCAGCAUCUUGCCACACACGUGA